CCCUUGUAGUACUGGGACUCUAACCAUAGGCCAUGAAUCUGGUCUUGGGACACUGUCAGGUGGGCAGUUUGACUGGGGCGGUCGCCUCCCAAAAGGGAACGGAGGCGCUCAAAGGUUCUCUCAGUACGGUCGGAAAUCGUACGUAGAGUGUAAAGGCAAAAGAGAGCUUGAUUGCAAGACAUACAGGUCGAGCAAGGAUGAAAAUCGGACUUAGUGAUCCGGUGGUUCUGCGUGGAAGGGCCAUCGCUCAACGGAUAAAAGCU
rnacentral:rRNA from 1 species